GGCGGUGUACGCGCAGUUCGGCGGCGGUGGCGUGACCGCCUUCGUCAACGGCGGCGACGUGCUGCUGGUCGAAGGCCUGGGCAUGCCGGCCCAGCUGGGUUCGACGAUGCUCGCCACGAUGGCGAUCCUGUUCGCCGCCACCA
rnacentral:tRNA from 1 species